GAUGAACGCUGGCGGCGUGCCUAAUACAUGCAAGUCGAGCGAACAGACGAGGAGCUUGCUCCUCCGACGUUAGCGGCGGACGGGUGAGUAACACGUGGAUAACCUACCUAUAAGACUGGGAUAACUUCGGGAAACCGGAGCUAAUACCGGAUAACAUGUUGAACCGCAUGGUUCAACAGUGAAAGACGGUCUUGCUGUCACUUAUAGAUGGAUCCGCGCCGCAUUAGCUAGUUGGUAAGGUAACGGCUUACCAAGGCAACGAUGCGUAGCCGACCUGAGAGGGUGAUCGGCCACACUGGAACUGAGACACGGUCCAGACUCCUACGGGAGGCAGCAGUAGGGAAUCUUCCGCAAUGGGCGAAAGCCUGACGGAGCAACGCCGCGUGAGUGAAGAAGGUCUUCGGAUCGUAAAACUCUGUUAUUAGGGAAGAACAAAUGUGUAAGUAACUAUGCACGUCUUGACGGUACCUAAUCAGAAAGCCACGGCUAACUACGUG
rnacentral:rRNA from 1 species